UAGAACCGAGUCUUGGCAGAUUUUCAUCAACUUGAAGGAAAAGGUCAGGGGGCAGAGGCAGAUCAGGGAACCCAGGAGGUGAUCUCCCAAAGGCAGCCCAUCAUAUGUGACUGGCACCGAUCUCUGUCUCACGGGCCUCCAGCCCACACAGCACACGUGUGUGUAAGCAAGCAACGCUGCAUCUCGCCAGCAGGCACGUGCAGGUGCGGGGUGAGCCUCUCCUACCUCCCCCAGGACCCUCGUGCACAGUCAUUUAGGAACCAUCUAGAGCUGGUCCCUCUGCCGGUCCAGGCCGGCUCCUGGGGAAGUGAGACGAUGCUGGAGAUCUGGUGUGGAGCCUGGGGCCCGAGGUGGAGGUGGCUUCCUCCCCGCACUAUCCUGGAGCAGUGCUCAGGAGGUAUGCAGGUAUGUGGAGAGGGGGUACAGGGGGUACAUGAUGGGACUUAAGAAUGGGCACCAGGGGACUGGGGCUCCUUGGGGUCCCCCUAGGCCCUGCAUCCCCUCCUGAUAGCUGCAGGCAGCUCAGUGAAGCCUCACUCACCCCUCCCCUGACCUCUCUAGCCUAGAAGGGAUU
rnacentral:lncRNA from 1 species